rnacentral:rRNA from 1 species
CAAGAAUUUUCCGCAAUGGGGGAAACCCUGACGGAGCGACGCCGCGUGAAGGAAGAAGGUCUUCGGAUUGUAAACUUCUUUUGUAAGGGAAGAAUAAGUCUAUCAGGAAAUGGGUAGAUGAUGACGGUACCUUACGAAUAAGCCCCGGCUAAUUACGUGCCAGCAGCCGCGGUAAUACGUAAGGGGCGAGCGUUGCUCGGAAUUACUGGGCGUAAAGGGCGUGUAGGCGGUCACACAAGUCUAAUGUAAAAAACCGAGGCUUAACUUCGGAGUUGCGUUAGAAACUGUAUGGCUUGAGUCUGGUGGAGGGUGAUGGAAUUCCCGGUGUAGCGGUGAAAUGCGUAGAUAUCGGGAAGAACACCGAAGGCUAAAGCAGUCAUCCAUGCCAAGACUGACGCUGAGGCGCGAAAGCAUGGGUAUCAAAC